GCGGAGUGAUAGUAAAAAGCGAAUUACUAGGGUAGAGGUACUUCAAGUAGUAGAUAUACCCGUGUGUCUUCGGCACCUCUUAGUCAACCUUUUGAGGAAGAAGUAGGCGUACCUUUAGGUGUAGGUGCCCACGAUAUGGAUUAUGUAGAAGCUCAGGAAAAUUAUGGUAUAGAAGAAGAAAAUAAAGUAGAUGCGGUUAAUUUAGACAAAGAUGAUAAAAAUAUUGGUGAGACACCCGCAGUAGAAAAUGCUAACGUUAGAUCUGAAUCGGUUAAUCUCCCUCCCCAUCCUCCCCGUG
rnacentral:lncRNA from 1 species